AACGAACGCUGGCGGCAUGCCUAACACAUGCAAGUCGAACGAGAUCUUCGGGUCUAGUGGCGCACGGGUGCGUAACGCGUGGGAAUCUGCCCUUUGGUUCGGAAUAACAGUUGGAAACGACUGCUAAUACCGGAUGAUGACGAAAGUCCAAAGAUUUAUCGCCAGAAGAUGAGCCCGCGUAGGAUUAGCUAGUUGGUGUGGUAAAGGCGCACCAAGGCGACGAUCCUUAGCUGGUCUGAGAGGAUGAUCAGCCACACUGGGACUGAGACACGGCCCAGACUCCUACGGGAGGCAGCAGUGGGGAAUAUUGGACAAUGGGCGAAAGCCUGAUCCAGCAAUGCCGCGUGAGUGAUGAAGGCCUUAGGGUUGUAAAGCUCUUUUACCCGGGAUGAUAAUGACAGUACCGGGAGAAUAAGCUCCGGCUAACUCCGUGCUAGCCGCCGCAGUAA
rnacentral:rRNA from 1 species